rnacentral:rRNA from 1 species
CCUACGGGAGGCUGCAGUGGGGGAUAUUGCACAAUGGGGGGAACCCUGAUGCAGCGACGCCGCGUGGGUGAAGGAGUAUUUCGGUAUGUAAAGCCCUAUCGGCAGGGAAGAAUUUAGACGGUACCUGACUAAGAAGCACCGGCUAACUACGUGCCAGCAGCCGCGGUAAUACGUAGGGGGCAAGCGUUAUCCGGAUUUACUGGGUGUAAAGGGAGCGUAGACGGCAGCACAAGUCUGGAGUGAAAUGCCGGGGCUUAACCCCGGAACUGCUUUUGAAACUGUGCAGCUAGAGUGCAGGAGAGGUAAGUGGAAUUCCUAGUGUAGCGGUGAAAUGCGUAGAUAUUAGGAGGAACACCAGUGGCGAAGGCGGCUUACUGGACUGUAACUGACGUUGAGGCUCGAAAGCGUGGGGAGCAAACAGGAUUAGAUACCCUUGUAGUC